rnacentral:rRNA from 1 species
GACGUAGGGCGCGAGCGUUGUCCGGAUUUAUUGGGCGUAAAGAGCUCGUAGGCGGUCUGUCGCGUCGGCUGUGAAAACCUGGGGCUUAACUCCGGGCCUGCAGCCGAUACGGGCAGACUAGAGUUCGGCAGGGGAGACUGGAAUUCCUGGUGUAGCGGUGAAAUGCGCAGAUAUCAGGAGGAACACCGGUGGCGAAGGCGGGUCUCUGGGCCGAUACUGACGCUGAGGAGCGAAAGCGUGGGGAGCAAACAGG